GCCAGGCUGGUCUUGAACUCCUGAUCUCAUGACCCCUGACCUCAUGAUCUGCCUGCCUCAGCCUCCCAAAGUGCUGAGAUUACAGGCAUGAGCCACCACACCUGGCUGCCAUUUCUUUUUUAAAAUGAAUAAUGGGAUUUCUUGUAAGGAGUGGCCUAUCAUGGGUGAAAAGAUGCUUGUAUACCCCAUUUCAGGUUAUACUGCAGUGUUUGUUUUGUUUUGUUUUGUUUGAGACAGAGUUUUGCUCUUGUUGCCCAGACUGGAGUGCAAUGGUGCGAUCUCAGCUCACUGCAAUCUCUGCCUCCCAGGUUCAAGUGAUUCUCCUGUCUCAGCCUCCCGAGUAGCUGAGAUGACAGGCAUGCACCACCAUGCCUGGCUAAUUUUUUGUAUUUUUAGUAGAGAUGGGGUUUCUCCAUGUUGAUCAGGCUGGUCUCGAACUCCUGACCUCAGGUGAUCCCCCCGCCUCGGCCUUCCAAGGUGCUGGGAUUACAGGCGUGAGCCAUUGCACCCAGCUCAUACUGCACUAUUAUGUGAGCAGUACUAUUCUUCUUGGAAGCCAUUUGCUGUCUAUAAGUCAGAAAGUUUUACUUCCUAAGAAACUUCAUGAAAUCUAUAAGCAGCUUCUUUGAAGAUGGCCUUUUGUAAUCUGCAUAUGACCCCCGAUUCUGAAACUGACUAGGACUGAUUGCAGCAUCAGGAAGGAGGAAUUUCCUGCCUCUGUGAGGGUUGGGCAAUGCAGAGGUUGGGGCAGGUGCCACCACCCUGGGGCUUAGACUCAGUUAGUUUGCCUGGGACCCAGCUCUGUGAGCUUAACCAAUAUCUCAGAGUAAAGGCUAUUAAAUAGGACAAUCUGAUCUGGUCUGAACUAAUUUUGGCCUGGUACAAUGGCUCACGCCUGUAAUCCCAGCACUUUGGGAGGUCAAGGUCAGAGGAUUGCUUAAGCCCAGGAGUUUGAGACCAGCCUGGGCAACGUGGCAAAACCUCAUCUCUACUAAAAAUAAAAAAUUAGCGGGAUGUGGUGGCACACACCUAUAGUCCCAGCUACUCAGGAGGCUAAGGUAGGAGGAUCACGUCAGCCCGGGAGGUUGAGGCUACAGUGAACCAAGACGGUGCCACUGCACCCCAGCCUGGGAGACAGAGGAAGACCCUGUCUCAAACAAACAAACAACACAAGAAAAUCCCAUUAUAUUUGGAGUUGGCUGUGUUUCCCUCAGUAGGCAGGUUCAUUAUUGAGAGUUGGAGGUUUACCAUCUAGCUAACAUUUGUGGAUGGUUAGACUGCUUUUCCCUGCCAGUCUCUUGGAAGCAGUCAAGGCAACCAGGCCUUUAGUGGAAAAAGGAGAAGAGACAGGAAUACCAGAGGCAGUCCCUUAACCUUGGAUUUCUCAGCCUCCAUAACUGGAAGAAAUACAUUCAUUUUAUUUAUAAAUUACCUGGUUUCAGGUAUUCUGAUAUAAGUAACAGAAAAUGAACCAAUAUAGUACCUAUGGUCCAAGAUCUUUAAAGAGAGCUCCUAGGUCCAAUAUCUGGAAGAAAUGUUACAACUAAACAACAAAAAGAUUAAAAUAUGGGUAAAGGACUUAGACAUUUCUCUAAAGAUAUACAAAUAGUCAACAAGCACAUGAAAAGAUAUUUAGCAUCCUUACUUAUUAGGGAAAUGCAAAUCAAGACCACAGUGAGGUACCACAUCAUACCUACAAGGAUAACUAUAAUUUUUUUUUUGAGAUGGAGUCUCACUCUGUCACCUAGGCUUGAGUGCAGUGGCGUGAUCUCAGCUCACUUUAAAAAGAAGGAAAUUUUGGCACAUGGAUGAACCUUGAAAACAUUAUAAGACUCCUUCAGGGUGAGCAAAGGCCUGGAAACCUGUAUGCAGUUAAAGAAAAGGAAAGAAAGAGAUAAUCAGUGCAUGCAGUUGUCAGCUGGCUGGGACCUGAGGAGAGUCACUUGUGGAGGCAACUGGUCUUUAUCCCUAUUGUCCGGUACAAGGCAGGCAUUAAUCCUGUGAUCCUUAUCUGAAGCUCAGGUUUGAUUUUAUUCUUUUCUUAAGGACCUAGUGUUAUCCCCAAGCUUGUAAUAAUAGUUUAAUUGUUACAGCCAAUAUCUCACCUUCAGAAAUAAGAUGCUUAGGAAACCAAGACAAGGAACUGUGUGUUGCAAACAGCAUCACCCUGGAGAAGAGGUGGCAGGAGGUGACCUACAGAAAAUGGAGCAAUAGCCUAGAGCAAGAAACACAGAACAAAAGAGAAAUGAGGGGUUAGGCAACCUCCUGGAGCACCACCGGGACAAGCACAUAUUCAGGGGCCUCCUAACAGACUCGACUUCCAGCAUCCUCAGAUGGGGCUAGACACGUUACAUAGACAUUCAAGAGCAGAGAACUCAGGGACUUCUGAUUUAUAUCAAGAAAUGCAUACACAGCAGACGUGUGCCUGUGGAGUGGAAUUCUGGAAAAGCUCACAGCCCAGAACAUAAUGCAGACUCCCCCAGCCACAGCACCUUCCAAUCCUGAGAAGAGUGCUGAUUCUCCAUCUGAGCACCCAUUCUCCUGCAACAUCAGGGGAGAGGAUUUCACCUAAGGGUCAGACCAGCGUCUCCAAACCCAGCUCCCCACCUUUGCCUGUUGGUGGCACUUGUGGGAGAAGGGGAGAUGAUAUGAAAAGAGCCACAACAGGAGUCACCUGGACAGGGUGGAGCUUGAUGGAAACUGACAUUUGUGCCCAUUGGAGGCAAAUGUAGAAUUUGGUAUCUUCCGUAGCGUCAGGCACAUGAAACUCUCCAGUGCCCAUGACUUUUGACAGUGACUUCAGAGCACAUCUGGGAGACCCAUGUGGCCCAGGCUCCACACAGAGGAUACAGAGGACCAACUGUAUACCACUUCAUGUGAUGUUGGAGUGCUGUUCUGCACGCCUAACUUUAUGGCUUGGUGGAUCAGACAAUGCCCAAUGUAUGAUGGAAAGCUCAGGUUGCAGGGUAGCUAGGUGGCCCAUGCUUGAGCAGUCUCCACUAAGUCCCAGGAGCAAGCCAAAACUGCUUCUGAAAAGGAGAGUAGUUAUCAGCGGAAGAUGGCAUGCUCCACAGUUCUAGGGUCCACACUGAUUUGCCUGUAGAGGCCUGCCAGUGGCUUCAGAUAGUAUCCCUAUCUGCCACUGACACUUCAAGCACCAUUGGAUCUCCUGAAACAUAAAGCCCAAGUGGGAGAGCAGCUUGCACAGCAGCCUGGACCUGUUGCAGAGCCUGCUUUUAUCCUGGGCUUAAAACUAGCAGCUUUUUGGGUCACUUGGCAAAUAGGUCAGAGAGUAACACACUCAAUUGAGGAAUAUGUUGCCUCUAAAAUCCAAAGAGGGCCUAAUGGUGUUAUGCCUCUUUUUUUGGUUGUACAAGGGGCUAGAUGCAACAACUUAUUCUUCACUUUAGAAGGGAUAUCUCGACCACUAGACUCCUAGAAAUUUCGCUGAAGUGAAAGGCCCUUGAAUUUUUAUAGGAUUUAUUUUCCACCCUCUGACAUGCAAAUGUCUUAGUAGUAAGUCUAGAAUAGUUGCUACUUCUUACUGCUUCCAGUCAGCAUUAUGUCAUCAAUGUAAUGGACCAGUGCGAUUGAUAUAGAAGGGAAAGGCAAUUAAGAUCCCUUCAGAUUAAAUUAUGACAUAGGGCUGGAGAGUUGGCAUACACCUGAGGUAGGACAACGAAGGUGUAUUGCGAGCUUGCCACCUGAAACCAAACUGUUUCUGGUGGUCUCUACUAACAGACAUCAGGAAAAAAAGUAUCUGCCAGAUCAGUAAGUGCAUACCAGGUACCAGGGGAUGUAUUAAUUUACUCAAGCUAUGAAACCACAUUUGGAACAGCAGCUGAAAUUGAUGUCCCCACCUGAUUAAGUUUCCAGUAAUUUACUCUCAUUCUCCAAGAUCUAUCUGUUUUCUUCACAGGCUAAAUAGGGGAGUAGAAUGGGAAUGUGAUAAAAAGUACCACCUCUGCAUCCUUCAAGUCCUUGAUGGUGGUACUAAUCUCUGCAAGCUCUACAAGAAUGCAGUAUUGUUUUUGGUUUGCUGUUUUUCUAGAUAGAGGCAGGUAAGUGGCUUCCACUUUAUAGCGUAAUUGCCCUCACUCUUCAGGUCAGGAAACCAGUGUAGGGAUUCUGCUAAUUGUUGAGUAUGUCUAUUCCAAUUAUUCUGCAGCUACAGAGAUAACAAGACGACCCACUGCAAGACAGACCUAAACUAAAACUCCAUUGAUCACCUAACCUCCCUAAGCCCCUACUCUCACUUGUGAACCAGAGUGAUGCAUUAGUUUUCCUGGGGUACCCUGAGUCUGAGUUCAGAACCAAUGUCCAGUAAUUCCCCCAAAGUCUGAUUAUUCCCUUUUCCCCAAUGCACAGUCAACUUGGUAAAGUGCUAUAGGUCCCUUUGGGGAAGGCUGAGAGAAAAAUGAACAGUAUACAAUUUUGGUAAUGCAGUGGGGACACAGCCUCCUCAUUAUUUAAGGAGAUAUGGGUCUGCAAACUGGCCCAAGUCUUGGAAUUGAUUCAGGAGCUGUGACUCCGUUUUUUUGAUUCGAGUUAGACUUUUAUUCACUUGAUUCUUCUUUUUAUACAGAACAGAUAAGAAUUUAGUAGGCUUUCCAUCUCUUUUAUUUCUAUGGAUACUAUGACCAGCUAGCUAAUGCCAUAAGUCUCUGUAAAUCGGACUUUCUAACUACAGUUUUGACUUUACUGUCCAUUACAGUAACCAUGUUCACCUUGUCUUUGGUGAUUAAAUGCUGCCACUUGGCCCCUGCCAUCCUGGGAUCCAGUUACUCUCCUUAUACUUAAGAAUCCCAUUCAGUGGCAGCAGUUCCCACUGUAAUUUCUGACCUAUACAGAAGAGCAACCACAGAGCUCUUUAAAAAUAUUGGAACUCCCUCACAAAUUUAUUUCUCAUAGUCAUAACAGAAAGUGUGUCCUGAGCUAGAUGUGGUAGCUCACACCUAUAAUCCCAGCACCUUGGGUGGCCAAGGUAGGAGAAUCGCUUGAGCUCAGGAGUUUGAAGCCUGCUUGGGCAACGUAGCAAGACCUUGCCUCUAUAAAAAUUUUUAAAAUUAGCCAGGUAUGAUGGUGCAUAUAGUCCCAGCUACUCAGGAGGCUGAGGCAGGAGGGUCUCUUGAGCCCAGGAGUUUGAGGGUACAGUGUGCUAUGGUCACACCACUGCACUCCAGCCUGGGCAAUAGAGUGAGCCCUGACUCUAAAAAAUAAUAAUAAAUAGAAAAAGAAAGCAUGUCCUCUUGUUAAAGAUUUUUCAAUGACACUUGUUCAAGGAUGGUAAGGCUGACUUUUUCAAGAUCAUCAGAAUAGAUACAGGGACCAAUGCAAUAGCAUUUUACAGCGAGGGAGAGAGAUUGGGCUCAACUCUGAAUACAGUUUGGGUAAGUGGGAAUUUAUUGCCAAGGAGUAGGGUGGGGGUCAGUGGAUUGAAAAUUACUAAGAGGAAACUUCAAGAGUAAGGAAAGAUUCUGGCUUAACUGACCUAACAGGAUUCUUGCUGAAAACAGGCUGGGGUGUUGAGACACUACCUGGGAGAUGGUGGAGGAUGAAGCCCUGAUCAGAUAUGGAGGAUGAUCAGAUAUUGAGCAUGGAGGUUCUUUUUUUUUUUAUGCUUUAAGUUCUAGGGUACAUGUGCACAACGUGCAGGUUUGUUACAUAUGUAUACAUGUGCCAUGUUGGUGUGCUGCACCCAUCAACUCGUCAUUUACAUUAGGUAUUUCUCCUAAUGCUAUCCUUCCCCCCUCUUCCCAUCCCACAACAGGCCCCAGUGUGUGAUGUUCCCCGCCCUGUGUCCAUGUGUUCUCAUUGUUCAAUUCCCACCUAUGAGUGAGAACAUGCGGUGUUUGGUUUUCUGUCCUUGUGAUAGUUUGCUCAGAAUGAUGGUUUCCAGCUUCAUCCAUGUCCCUACAGAGGACAUGAACUCAUCAUUUUUUUUUUUUUUUUUUUUUGAGACGGAGUCUCGCUCUGUCACCCAGGCUGGAGUGCAGUGGCGCGAUCUCCGCUCACUGCAAGCUCCGCCUCCCGGGUUCACGGCAUUCUCCCGCCUCAGCCUCCCGAGUAGCUGGGACUACAGGCGCCCGCCACCGCUCCCGGCUAAUUUUUUGUAUUUUUAGUAGAGAAGGGGUUUCACCGUGCUAGCCAGGAUGGUCUCGAUCUCCUGACCUCGUGAUCCACCCACCUCGGCCUCCCAAAGUGCUGGGAUUACAGGCGUGAGCCACUGCGCCCGGCCUUGAACUCAUCAUUUUUUAUGGCUGCAUAGUAUUCCAUGGUGUAUAUGUGCCACAUUUUCUUAAUCCAGUCUAUCAUUGAUGGACAUUUGGGUUGGUUCCAAGUCUUUGCUAUUGUGAAUAGUGCUGCAAUAAACGUACAUGUACAUUUGUCUUUAUAGCAGCAUAAUUUAUAAUCCUUUGGGUAUAUACCCAGUAAUGGGAUGGCUGAGUCAAGAUGGUAUUUCUAGUUCUAGAUCCCUGAGGAAUUGCCACACUGUUUUCUACAAUGGUUGAACUAGUUUAUAGUCCCACCAACAGUGUAAAAGUGUUCCUGUUUCUCUACAUCCUCUCCAGCACCUGUUGUUUCCUGACUUUUUAAUGAUCAGAUAGCCUCCUAUUUUUUAACUAUGAGUUGGAAUUUGCUGCUUUUGAUAUGAUAAGAAAGUUCAAAGUUUCUCUUCCUUGCUUUGUUGUGUGUUCUAAUUCUUUUCUGCCCAUCCCCCAGUAAAGAAAAGGCUCAGUAUGAUUUCUUGAAUAGAUUGUUUAAGCUAUUUUCAAAACAGGACUUGGUCAGGGGCAGGUAGUCUUAAAUGUUCAGAAGCCACUGGAUGGAAAAUUGUGAGCACAUAAGUGUUUUUCUUGGUCAACCAUGUCAUUUUAUAGCCAAAGUUUGACUUGACAUACUGGAAUUAAUCCACACGACUUUGAAAAGAAUAAACUCUUUAAAAAGAGAGUGAGCGCUCCGAGGGUGUUAUGAGAGUCACUGUCUGAAACCCUAUUGAUCAUAUUGUGGCAGAAGAAAUAGAGUCCUGCCAUGAAUUAUACUUUUCAGGUUAAAAAAAAAAAAAGCAAUUUGUAGGACAGUUUGAAUAAUUUAGUACAAUUGUUAAAAAUACAGACAUGCACAUUCCUGUAUGUGCAUUUUUAAAUGUUCACGAAUGAUAUAAGCCAGAUAUAUUUCUUAGAGGUGCUUGAAAAAAGUUAUUUCUUCUUGGGCUUUAUUAUCUCAAUUUAAAAAAAUUAAGAUGCAUAAUUCUCAUAAGAUAACAGAUUCAGAAGAAUAUAGUUCAAGAAAAAAAAUUAAAGAACUCAUAAAGGAGAAGGAGGAGGAGGAAGAGAGUGUGAAACAGGAGCCUCAGAUAACUUGGUAAAGGCAUGUCUCCCAUUUGGGAACUGAUGUUCCUAAGAUCCGCACUGACGCUGCUCAGCCGGUCCAUCACACAGCAAAGGCGUGAGGAAGGGUCACUGCCCAGCUGGACUCCAGGGUGGUCCACGCAUGACAGUCACACCGAACCUUCAUGAGGAUGUGAACUGUUGGCUCCAAUUUACCAUUCCCAGCAAUUCCACUCAGAUAUUUGUAUACUAAUGUUCACAGCAGCGUGAACUCCACAGCAGGUGGAGUAAUGUUCCAUUGUGUGCAUAUGCCACAUUUUGUUUAUCCAUUCAUCUGUUGAUGCACAUUUCGGUUGUUCCCACCUUUGGGCUAUUAUUAAUAAUGCUGCUGUGAACAUUCCCAAGAGAAAUAGGAAGACGGCUUUGCUAAGAACUAAAAAAGGGAUGGACAACAAGGGCAUAUACCCAGGGGCAGUGUUCUAUCAUGACAGCUUUACUGAGAGCAGAGUAGUUCUGCUCAGAAUCAGAACACUUGUUCCCUAUAGCCCCCCUGAUUGCCCCACAACCACCACCGCAUACUCCCCUUUUCCCAACCAUGGGCAGCAGAUUGAGCUAUUAACAGAAGUGUCCUUUCGCUGGAUUUCUCAACCCUUUCCUCAUCGUCCACAUAGAGAAACAGUAACAGAUUGCUACUCACCCAACACCCAGGUCAAGUCCAAUGCAGGUAGGAAUAACAGCAAAUCCUUCAAUUUCUUGAUUCUGCUCUUAAAAAUCUUAACAGAGGCCGGGCACGGUGGCUCACGCCUGUAAUGCCAGCAUUUUGGGAGGCCGAGGCGGGUGGAUCACCAAGACCAGCCUGGCCAAGAUGGUGAAACCCCGUCUCCACUAAAAAUACAAAAAUUAGCCAGGCGUGGUGGUGGGCACCUGUAAUCCCAGGUACUCGGGAGGCUGAGGCAGAGAAUUGCUUGAACGCGGGAGGCAGAGACUGCAGUGAGCCGAGAUCACACCACUGCACUCCAGCCCAGGUGACAGAGCAAGACUCCAUCUCAAAAAAAAAAAAAAAAGACUUAACAGAGCAUUUCACGGGGAAGGGCCAUGAGGGAACAUCACCUGGGUGAUGGUAACAUUCUGUAUCUUGAUAAGGAUUUGAGUUAUACAAGUAUAUACAUCUGUCAAAAUUCAAAGAAUGUACACUCAAGAUCUGUGCAUUUCAUUAUAUGUAAAUGUUACAUUAAAAUGUUGUAAACAAAUAUUGAACAAAUAUACGCAUGCUAAAGUAUUUAAGAGGAAGUACUGGUGUCUGCAAAACAAAAAUUUUUUUUCCAUUUUCUGUGGUAAAAUAUACAUAAUAUAAAUGUAUUAUUUUAAGUGUACAAUUCAGUGGCAUUAAAUACACUCAGAAAGUUGUGCAAACAUCCCAUUUAUUCAUUUCCACAGAUUUUUUAAUUCUCAUUCCAAACAGAAGCCCUGUACCCAAAGAGCAAUAACUCCGCAUCCUCCAAUCCCCACUCUCUGGUAACCUCUAUUCUACUUUCUGCCUCUAUGAAUUUGCCAAUUCUAGGUACCUCAUAUAAGUGGAAUACAGUAUUUAUCCUUUUGUGUCUGGCUUCUUUCACUUAGCAUAAUAUUUUCAAGGUUCAUUCAUGUUUUACAUGUAUCAGAAUCUUGUUUUUUCAGGUGGAGUAAUGUUCUAUUGUGUGCAUAUGCCACAUUUGGUUUAUCCAUUCAUCAGUUGAUGCACAUUUCGGUUGUUCCCACCUUUGGGCUAUUAUGAAUAAUGUUGCUGUGAACACUGGUAUACAAAUAUCUGAGUGGAAUUGCUGGAUCAUAUGGUAAUUCUGCAUUUAACUUUUUAAGGAACUGCCAAACUGUUUUCCACAGAGCUGUAACAUUUUACAUCCAAACCAGCAAUAGGACCUGGAUAAAAGGUGGCUAAGGCACAGUUAAAUAAAAUACUGUUAGUUACUGCCCAUUUGCAUUGGGUUUCUAGUGGCAAAUAAUCUAGCCGUGUCCUUGACUGGAUCUCCCAAUGAUUCUUUUCAGUCAUUUGAAUGAGUAUGGUGGUGGUGACACUGGCAGGAGGCUGGAGGGUACUUUAAUUAACACGCGAACACACACAAAUCCAUUGCACCCCACUAAGCCGCCCAAACACACAUGAAACACAAAAACUAUCCUUGCUAGGGAAACACAGCCCUGGAACAAACCCCCUGGACCCCUUGUCACCACCAGCCCAUCCUGUAAGAAAAUGAUGGUUGAAGCUGCAGUGACAGAAUUGGAGAGAUGCUCUGUUAGACAAGUCUGUCAGCUGAAAGGGGCAGAAACCAUUGUUGAACUGCUUAUAUGAGAGGAAGACCUGGGUGGCACAGGCCUGGCUGGACGCAGGGCUCACAGAGCGUCAUCAGCACUUCAUCUCUUCCCCUGCGGGACCUGCUGUCCUCUGCGUUGCACACACCCCCCGCCAGGCUCAUCCCUGUAUCCUCCUUGGAGGAAAGUGCCAGGCUGGUGCUACUUGGCCCUGCCUGGGUCACACGCCUGCCUCGGGAUGUGGAGGAUGGUCAGCCCAGCCACAGCACAUGGAUUGCUAUGUGAAGGAUGAUGUUCCACAAGAAAACCAGGACGGCUUCACCAGGGAGGCAAGAGCAGCAGAUGCCCAUGACAGAGGGUGUAUACUCUGAAUAAAAGAAUUUGGAUUUUUAAAAAGAGACAGGAAGAAAAGGACUUCCAAACUCUAGAAAGUUUAAAACUAGUAGAAUGAAACAUAUUGUGUAUAAAUGUAAAGCUCUUUGUUGAGAUUAAAUAUACGUAUCAGUUAAAUUUUAUUUAAACAUAUAUAUACACAUAUACACACACACACAUACAUAUAUAUGACCCAAGUACAGGAUAAAGAUGAAAUUAAUAAGUACUCUUUAAAAAUCUUAGUUUUGGGGCUGGGCGCGGUGGCUCACGCCUCUAAUCCAAGCACUUUGGGAGGCCAAGGCGGGCGGAUCACCUGAGAUCGGUAGUUCGAGACCAGCCUGACCAACGUGGAGAAACCCUGUCUCUACUAAAAAUACAAAGAAUUAGCCGGACGUGGUGGCGCAUGCCUGUAAUCCCAGCUACUCGGGAGGCUGAGGCAGGAGAAUCGCUUGAACCCGGGAGGCGGAGAUCGCAGUGAGCCAAGAUGGUGCCAUGUCACUCCAGCCUAGGCAACAAGAGCAAAACUCCAUCUCAAAAAAAAAAAAAAUUAGUUUUGGGAUACCAGUAAUUUCAGUAUUAUUAACAACCUGACUUGGGCACCCCAAAAGUUUGCAAUAAUGGCAUUAAAUGGCUGGAUAGAGAAAGAGAUGGUGGCGUGAAUGCCUGCUUCCUGGUGUCAUGUCUGGAAUUUCAUGUCCAGUCCUGAAAGCUGCAUUUUAGGAAGGGUGCUACUGAGCGUCCAGAGAAGACAGCAUUUCGCUUGGUGAAGGGAGUGGGCUUAUGAUGCAUGGCAGGAGGAGUAAUGUAGAAAGAAAUAAGCUUUGCGGUGCAUAGUGUAGAGAAAUUCCUGCUUUGCGUCAAACAGACUGACCAGGCAGGCCUCACAGUUUUGCAAAGCCCUGGAAGCACAGGCUUGGCUGCAGAUGUUGGAUGACUUUCCAGACCAGUUUUGGAAAAAGCUCUUGAGGAUCAGAAGCUCCUGGGAUUUCUGUUAUCACCUGAUUUCAUGGAGAGAGACAGUCCAGGGCCGGGAAUUAUGUGGCAUCUAUGUGUUCCCCAGUUGUGGGAUCCAUCUGGCCGAUGGUUAUGGUGGUCAGUGACUUUCAGAGGCCUGGAAUUCAUGACAGAUGCUUUUGCUAAUGUGCUUGGUGCCCCACUGAGGCUGCUGAGCAGUGCUUACCAUGCGCCCGAUGUCUCUUCUGUGUGCCUCUGAGAGCAAAAGUGGCCUCAGAGUCUGAAGGAGGGCAAAGUGGCCACAGCUGCAGACACAAAGUCCAGACUAGCUCUUGACCACAUCCAAGUGCAUCCUGCAUUAAGCUCAGGCACAUCAAACCUGCCCAAUCAAGGUCUGCCAAAGGAAGGAGUCUGCAAAUGACAUUUCUCAUAAUCAAACACACUCUUAAUUUGUUUUUAUAUUAUUCACUCCAUUUUUUGAUUAUUAUAACUUUUAAAAUUAUGUCUAGUAGUUUUAUCAAUUGCUGAGAAGAGUGUUGAAGUCCAACUUACAAUUGUGGAUUUGUUGAUUUCUUCUUUCAGCUUUAUUGGUUUUGGUUUAUGCAUUUUAAGGCUCUGCUCUUGGUGUGUACACAUGUAAAACCAUUUUGUCUUCAUAGUAAAUUAAUUUUUAAAAAUCAUUAUGUAAUGUCCCUCUUUGCUCCAGUAAUUCUUUGCUCUGAGGUCUACUGUAUUAGUAUUAAUAUAGCGACUUCUACUUUUAAGUUAAUAUUUGCAUGGUACAUUUAUUUUAAUGCUUUUCAUUUUCUUUUUUUUUUUCUUUUUUUAUUAUACUGUAAGUUUUAGGGUACAUGUGCACAACAUGCAUGUUAGUUACAUACAUAUACAUGUGCCAUGUUGGUGUGCUGCACCCAGUAACUCGUCAUUUAACAUUAGGUAUAUCUCCAAAUGCUAUCCCUCCCCCCUCCCCCCACCCCACAACAGGCCCUGGUGUGUGAUGUUCCCCUUCCUGUGUCCAUGUGUUCUCAUUGUUCAAUUCCCACCUAUGAGUGAGAACAUGUGGUGUUUGGUUUUUUGUCUUUGCAAUAGUUUGCUGAGAAUGAUGGUUUCCAGCUUCAUCCAUGUCCCUGCAAAGGACAUGAACUCGUCAUAUUUUAUGGCUGCAUAGUAUUCCAUGGUGUAUAUGUGCCACAUUUUCUUAAUCCAGUCUAUCAUUGUUGGACAUUUAGGUUGGUUCCAAGUCUUUGCUAUUGUGAAUAGCGCUGCAAUAAACAUACGUGUGCAAGUGUCUUUAUAGUAGCAUGAUUUAUAAUCCUUUGGGUAUAUACCCAUUAAUGGGAUGGCUGGGUCAAAUGGUGUUUCUAGUUCUAGAUC
rnacentral:lncRNA from 1 species